CGCAGGGAGAAGCCGGGAGCGCGCGCGCGCGCGCGCCUCGGGCCAGGGCCCGGUCACCCCAGCAACCGGUGGCCUCAGGGUUGGCAGGUGAAAAAUUCAGGUCCAGAAAUAGAAAAAUGACCGAAAAUAACCGCGUGGAAAAUAAACCCCGGAUCAGACCGAGUGAGAACAACGGUCAGAACAAAACGAACCUCCAGAUAAUGGUUCCAAAUGAAGAACACCUGUACUUUUAGGGGUAAAGAAAAGAGCAUCCAAGAAUCUUAGAGAUGAAAUAAAUCAUCACGCUGCCAAUACAAACUACCCACAGAAGCCUGUACUAAACAUUUACUGGGUAGUAUGGAAAAUUAAAGAAACAAUAGGCUAAAACGCUA